rnacentral:tRNA from 1 species
GGUGGCUCAAUGGUAGAGCGCUUGCCUUGCAUGCAUGAGGUCCUGAGUUCAAUUCCUCAGCACCA